AUUGAACGCUGGCGGCAUGCCUUACACAUGCAAGUCGAACGGCAGCACGGGAGCAAUCCUGGGUGGCGAGUGGCGAACGGGUGAGUAAUAUAUCGGAACGUGCCCGGUCGUGGGGGAUAACGUAGCGAAAGCUACGCUAAUACCGCAUACGAUCUACGGAUGAAAGCGGGGGAUCGCAAGACCUCGCGCGAUUGGAGCGGCCGAUAUCAGAUUAGGUAGUUGGUGAGGUAAAGGCUCACCAAGCCGACGAUCUGUAGCUGGUCUGAGAGGACGACCAGCCACACUGGGACUGAGACACGGCCCUGACUCCUACGGGAGGCAGCAGUGGGGAAUUUUGGACAAUGGGCGCAAGCCUGAUCCAGCAAUGCCGCGUGCAGGAUGAAGGCCUUCGGGUUGUAAACUGCUUUUGUACGGAACGAAACGGUGAGCUCUAAUACAGUUUGCUAAUGACGGUACCGUAAGAAUAAGCACCGGCUAACUACGUG
rnacentral:rRNA from 1 species